GGAUAUAGCUCAGUGGUAGAGCAUGUGCUUAGCGUGCACAGGUUCCUGGGUUCAAUCCCAAAUACCUCCA
rnacentral:tRNA from 1 species